GACAGAGGCCUCAAGCGUUAGGCGGAAUCACUGGGCUUAAAGCGUGUGUAGGCGGAUCGUUAAGUGUCUUGUGAAAUCCCACGGCUCACCCGUGGAACUGCUGGGCAUACUGGCGAUCUUGGGCCAACUAGGGGCAACUGGAACAAGCGGUGGAGCGGUGAAAUGCGUAGAUAAUCGCUUGGAACGCCAAAGGGUGAAACAGGUUGCUGGGGUUGUGC
rnacentral:rRNA from 1 species